rnacentral:rRNA from 1 species
UAUCUCUGUAGAGUCUGCAUAUCAAUAAGCGGAGGAAAAGGAACUAACAAGGAUUCCCUUAGUAACGGCGAGUGAAGCGGGAAGAGCUCAAAUUUGAAAUCUUCAAGGUUCUACCUUGACGAAUUGUAGUUUAUAGAAGUGUUUUCUGUUAGUGGAGUGGCAAAAGUUCUUUGGAAUAGGACAUCAUAGAGGGUGAGAAUCCCGUAUUUGGAUCCAUUAUUUCCUAGCGUUGUGAUACACUUUCAAAGAGUCGGAUUGUUUGGGAAUGCAGUCCAAAAUGGGUGGUAAAUUUCAUCUAAAGCUAAAUAUUGGCGAGAGACCGAUAGCGAACAAGUACCGUGAGGGAAAGAUGAAAAGAACUUUGAAAAGAGAGUUAAACAGUACGUGAAAUUGUCAAAAGGGAAGCGUUUGACACCAGUGUUGUCUUCUCGAAAAUCAAUUAAAAAUGGCGGGAUUUUGUGUUGUAUUGACUUCAUCAGCUUUCUGCACUUUUUCCCUGUCUUUUUUAAUGCACUUUUCGUUUAACAAGUCAACAUCAAUUUCUUUUGUUGUAAAAGGGUCAUUGGAAGGUGGCUUUCUUUUCGGAGAAAGUGUUUAUAGCCUUUGGCCUCUGCAAUCGGAGAGAUUGAGGUCUGCAGCGUAGAUCCUUCGGGGUUAGAUACAUUUGUGCUAAGUUAUAGCCUUUCAUAGACAACUUGUUGACUAUGAUCAGUCAUGUAGCUUACUCGCUUAUGCUAUUUUACCUACGCUUAGGAUGUUGAGUCAUCACACAUCUCU